rnacentral:rRNA from 1 species
AUUGAACGCUGGCGGCAGGCCUAACACAUGCAAGUCGAACGAGUGGCGGACGGGUGAGUAAUGUCUGGGAAACUGCCUGAUGGAGGGGGAUAACUACUGGAAACGGUAGCUAAUACCGCAUACCAUCGGAUGUGCCCAGAUGGGAUUAGCUAGUAGGUGGGGUAACGGCUCACCUAGGCGACGAUCCCUAGCUGGUCUGAGAGGAUGACCAGCCAACCUGGAACUUGGGCACGGGUCCGGCUCCUACGGGGGGCAGCCGUGGGGAAUAUUGCACCAUGGGCGCCAGCCUGAUGCAGCCCUGCCGCGUGUAUGAAGAAGGCCCUCGGGUUUUAAAGUUCUUUCAGCCGGGAGGCGUUACCCGCAGAAGAAGCCCCGGCUAACUCCGUGCCAGCAGCCGCGGUAAUUC